CUUUCCAGAAUUUCAUCACAGCAUUUCAUGGUUCUUGUGACUGAACUUGGUGUCUUUUGGUGAUUAAGUGCUGCUUUGCUUUUCUUAGCUGAGCGGGGAAAACAAUUACCCAAUGAAUUACCAACGUAGGCAGAUAGGACUGUUUUUAUGUAUACCAGCAGUAGCUCAACACAGCACAACUGAUGGUCUCAUUAGAGGGUGAGAAAUCCCACAAACUAACUUUUGACAAGUUGUCUGUUAAUUAAAAAGCACCCCGGGCAUUAAUGCUGGCAAGGAUACUGCCUUUCUUUUGUAAAGUUGUGAUCACAGCAAACACUUUGAUGGAUCUAAAAUCUGACACAUAUUCAUGAAAUUAUAUACAGGUUUUAUUUGCCUUCAGUACCUUAUUAAUUUUGUGUUUAGUCUAUAUAUUCUUACUGGUUUUAUUAUGUGACUCAUAUCUCUCUUCAAUGUUCUCAUAUUUUAUUGUAAUUUAUUAUCAGAGUCAUUUAUUUCCAUGCUUACACUAUAUGUUUACUUUUAUCUUUGCUGGGCUAUAUUAGAAAUGAGAUCACUGCCUUGGUGUUUCUCAGUAAGAAUAAAAAGCUGAUGAAAGCUAAACUUUUUAGAUCGCAGACUAAUUGAUGACACUAGAUUGCCUCACUCCCACUUUGUAGAAUAAACCAAACCAAAGAAGUAAAAGGUUUAGUGAUUGAAUAAAUGCAAGCAAACUUGCUUUUAUUUGAGCACUCAUUCAACCAUCAGCUCCCAAUGGAUCCUUCACUGCACUAAACCAUCUCCUCUUCUGUCAAACGCAGAGGAAUUUCUUUCUCUGACCUGCCAAGUUGGUCGGUAAAAGCUUUCAGCAGAUUUUGAACCUGAUCCCCGACCAGCAACUUGUUACUUCUGCACCACAUAGCAAUUAAUGAAAUAUUUUUCCUUUACCAUGGUAACUUCCUGCACAGCUAAACAGAGAUGCUGAAUGGACUUCAGAAAAAAAGAACGAGGAGCUGCAUGAGAAUGAGCACAGAGGGAGAGGGAGGCCAGUGUAGAUGUAAAUACAACUGAAAGACCUUUUUCUAACAGGGCAUGGAGACAAAUCUUACUAUAAUACACCAAAUCUCUGACUGGGAGCAACCAAACCUGGCACGCAGCAGCAGCUGCAGGCUGUUGGAGGCCUGCUGCCUGACCGGCCGGCCAGUUGGCUGAAGCAGAAAAGACACUCAGAGUUUCUUUGAGAGCAGAGCAGAGAUCAAGCUGCUGGGAGCCAGAAAAGAGGGAGCAAAAUUAACGAGUUCUACAAAGAAGUCCAGUCUUCUGUGUACUGUAAACUCUCUACUGCAUUCUAGGUACUAAGGGCUGGAAUGAGAGUUCCUCUGUUGGAAAUUAAAGAGCCAUUUAAGUCAAAUAGCACAAUGAGUUACCCACUGUUGUAUCUGGUGCUUUCUAGAGUCCAAAUAUAACAUAUUACAGCUACAAUAGAUAUCAGUGUAUUGCAUGAGAAUCGGGGUUGGAUUAAUUGGAUAGUGUUAUAUGUGUAUAAUUCAGGAAACCUCAAGUUUUCUGUGUGGUUGAAUUGGUAGAUAUAGAUAUUCACUUUAAUUUCAUUUCAUUUUUACACCACCAAAUCACAACAGCUGCUUCAAGGUGCAGGAUUUUACCAACAUGGAACUGCCACAGAGUCGCAGAUCUACAAAUCCUAACAGGCGUUGGACUCCAGCUUCAUUGGAGCUGGAGGAGUUUGUCUACAGGGAACUGUGUGCAUGUCUUGAAAUGGUUUACAUUGUUACAUCUAAUGCAGGUGUGUCACGAUACACUGAAACUGAUGAACCGAUGAGUGAUAUUUAAAAAUUAAAUAUCGAUAAUAACAAUAAUCAUCUAUCCUCUUCCGCUUAUCCAGUUCAGGGUCAAGGGGAGUCUAUCCCAGCUACUGUAAGGUGAGCCAAGGUACACCACAGUCAGGUCGCCAGUCUAUCACAGGGCUAACACUGAGAGACAGACAAUCAGUCGCACUUGUAUUCACACCUAUAGGCAAUCUCUUGGGCUAUGGGAGGAAGCCGGAGUACCCAAAGACACAUGAAGAACCUGCACACUCAAUACAGAAAGGCCAGAUGGUGAAUUUUAACCCAGGGCCGUCUUGCUGUGAGGCAAAAGUCCUAACCACAUUAUACUAAUAUUAAUCCAGCAGCAGUAAGUACUGAAGCUUGAGGCUUGGCAAAAACGACUCUAUUUGUUCUUUCUGACCAGUUAUCUUGCAACAACUAACUUCUUCUCAGCUGCUACUGCAGUAUCAGUGAGAGUUAAAGAGACAGGAAUUUUGGGAUGUGGAUAAUUUCCUUAUUGAUUAACAUCAAUCUCACUGAAUAGUUUAAAAGUAAGAAAACACUUAAAACAGCGAAAUCUGAGCAGUGUAAUGGACAAGGUUAAAUUCAGUCUGUAGAAAUACUUUGGAUAUACUGUGGGGGAAAUUCUGGAGAAAAGCAAUCUCUGCAGCUUCUGUAGCUUCUCAGCAUCCUACAGCUGGAGGGUACCUUAGCCAAAACUAGCAUAACACUUUCUAUCUCACAACAAGGGCGUGCAUAAAUAUAAGCAACAAAUGAAGGACCAAAGAAAAAGUAAAUUGAUUAAAGUUGUCAUCUCUGGUCCUUCUGCUUUGAACCAUCUUUUUUACAGUGUUAUUAGAGUGCAGUUGUAAGUCAGUAGAGCACUCUUAAUAUGUUUAAUGUGUCACUGGGAAUAUGAAAUUUUGAUUAACAUCUCAGUGCAGGAGUAAAUGAAUCACCAUUCAGCUGGUUAACUAACAGCAAUGAGAGCACAUUGCAAGGUUGCUUAUCCAUAAAAAUCCGUUUGCAUGUAGAUACUAGCUGUGCAUUAUUUCAAAUUAAAAUUCUGAUAUUAAACACUGUAGAGCUUCUAUUACCAAGCAUCAUAUUAACGUGCAUUUUACAUUUCCCCCCAAAUAGACUGAUGCUUCCGUUUCAGUUUUAAGCUGAAUGAAUGAGUUAUUUUCAUAACCUUCAAAAACCCUGGAAAAAAUCUCUGCAACUCCGUCAACAACACAUCAAGGUGCAGUCUCGGAGGAUGCGGGGUAGAGAGUGGGUGUGGGGUGAGGGGGUGAAGGUGUGUAUAUGUGCAGAGAGGCAUCCCAAGGCCAAUUUCAGUGUACCAUCACAUGUUUGAGUAUCUUUGUAAUAAAUAAUGAAAGCAAAUAUAUAUAUUUUUAAAAUUCCUGUUUAAGUGGAAAGCUUGAAGUACACGAUACUACACCAAGUGAGUCCAAAUAAUGCUGGAGUUGUACAUAGUCAUUGUACCACGACAUGUAAAACAUUUAAUCUGAACAUUUUAAAAAAUGUUUGCACACACUGAAAUUAAUUACAGUCCAUUUUCUGUGUUUCUGGUAUGUGUCAUUGUUUCAUAUACAUGUCAUAUAGAUAUAAAUAACAUACCAUUUGAUGUCAACAUAUUUUUGUUACAUUUGCAGUG